ACUCACCAGAGCCCAGGUUAAUACACAGAGUAUGUGUUGCAUGGACUAAGCAUGUGUUGACCCUUUUUUACUUUUAGGUUCCCGCUAAAAAAAGAAGUACAGAGAAAAGUGGAUGAGGGUGUGUGGCAUGACCAAUGAGCCAAGACCACUUAAACUUAACAAGAAGUGCGCACCAUGAUAAGCACAGUCAAAAACGUUUGCGUCUAAAGAACAGUGCUUUGCCGGAUCAGACUAUUCCGUAUACGCCUUGGGUUGCUGUCGCUGCUCGGUCACCCACAGAUGAAAGUGAUCAAGAAAUGGACAUCACUCAGGUGUGGGAUCACUCGUGGAAGUUCACGGCGGAUACGGAGCCGUGCAUGCAGCUCUGGUUCGAUCCUGCUCAGGGAAGCCCCAAUGACGCCGUGGCGCGCAUCUGGGCUGAGCGGGUGGUGGCGGCCGGUGCGCGGGCGCUGCCGCGUGGCUGGUGGCCGCGGCCCGCUCCUGACCCGGUCGCCCUGUGCCGAGCACAGAGCGCCGACUGAGGUCAGUCUUGUGAUCGAGCUUCCGCGCCGGAGGUGGAACAGGUGGAGCUGGCGGUCAUCUGCGCGGGCUCGGCGGCCUGUAAGCCGUGCCGAGACGAACCGCGACACUCUUGCUAGAUCUGCACCCCAUUGUAAUCUUCUGUAGUCGAUAUUCGGUAGGUACUCAAUGCUCAUUUUUCUGAUAUUAGACGAGUGGCGUGUUUUGAUGCUACAUUGGAGACUGCUGUCUCGGGUGGCCCGACAGUGUUCGAUUGUGGUGUAAUGUAGGUAUAUAGACGGGAUGCCGCGGCUCGGAUUCGUAGCUGGACUACCAUGUGCCUGUCGAUUGAGAUGCUUUGCCUGGCGAUUGAGAUGAUUCGGGGCGCGGCCCCACACUGACGCCAUGGUGCAAUGAGUGACUGGCGACAACUAAGCAAUUAUGUACUUUUGUAGAACACAUGUUUUCAUGGAUACGAGAGGCAGUCCUUUUUUCGCUAGCAGUCAUUUGGUUCACGAUACUUUCGAUACCGACAAAUAUGUUCGGGCGGCCGGUCCGUCCACAGCUAAUGCGUGCUUGCCCGCCGAUGCCUAACGGAGCGCUGUGCUGUCUACGCUCACUGGUCGCUGGCCCGAGAGACGUUCGGUUGCUGCUGUUAAAACAGUUCUCACAAAAACACGCUGGCUGGCUGCCAGUUCUUCACCAAUGAGAGGCCCAGUAGCAUCAGCUGGUAGCAUUGUUUAAUAUUACUAUUCCAUUUUGUUUACCCAUAUGUCCGACCUAGAGCCGACUGGUAAAAAGCGGCAACCGAGCAGCCCUCCGCAGCGCUGCAGAUCAUGUACGCUCGAUUAUACACAAUAUAUGUGUCUUUCUUGCACACAGAGACAUGA
rnacentral:lncRNA from 1 species